GAUCCUGGCUCAGAUUGAACGCUGGCGGAACGCUUUACACAUGCAAGUCGAACGGUAACGCGGAGAGAAGCUUGCUUCUCACCGGCGACGAGUGGCGAACGGGUGAGUAAUACAUCGGAACGUGUCCGCUCGUGGGGGACAACCAGCCGAAAGGUCGGCUAAUACCGCAUGAGUUCUACGGAAGAAAGAGGGGGACCCGCAAGGGCCUCUCGCGAGCGGAGCGGCCGAUGACUGAUUAGCCGGUUGGUGAG
rnacentral:rRNA from 1 species